rnacentral:lncRNA from 9 species
CCUGGCUUGAAUCCUGGAUGUGCACUUUUCAAAUCAACCUGGCAGGGAGUUUGAAUUCUAGAAAGCUGGGCUUCAGAGUGUUACUGUAGCAUGUCCAUGAGUAGGUCCACACUUUCAGAGUGUGAGCUGUGCUUAUGACUCAGUUCUUUCUCUCCAGAGAUUUCCACAGCCUCUGUCUUCCCUCUGAACCUGAUGCUUCAGCCUUUGUUGGACACCCAUAUGAAGGAACCUGUCUAAAUCCAUGCUCAGAAGGGGAUUAAAGUUGGACACAUGGAGAUGCCCAGAGCCUGCUGUUUUAUUCAUGGUGCCUCUGACCCUGUGGCCCAAUUUGCCUCAACUCAGUGAGGUAACAGAGUUCUGCCAUUAAAUGUCAAAUUCAAUUCCUAUCUGGUUGGGUGGCCCCAAGUUUAGGGAGCUUG